rnacentral:rRNA from 1 species
UACGAAGGGGGCUAGCGUUGUUCGGAAUUACUGGGCGUAAAGGGUGCGUAGGCGGUCCGCUAAGUUGGAUGUGAAAACUCUGGGCUUAACCCAGAGCCUGCAUUCAAAACUGACGGGCUAGAGUUCUGGAGGGGGUAGAGGAAUUCCUGGUGUAGCGGUGAAAUGCGUAGAUAUCUGGAGGAACACCGGUGGCGAAGGCGGCAUCCUGGACCGGUAUUGACGCUGAGGCGCGAAAGCUAGGGGAGCAAACGGG